rnacentral:rRNA from 1 species
UACGUAGGGUGCGAGCGUUGUCCGGAAUUAUUGGGCGUAAAGGGCUCGUAGGCGGUUUGUCGCGUCUGCCGUGAAAGUCCGGGGCUCAACUCCGGAUCUGCGGUGGGUACGGGCAGACUAGAGUGAUGUAGGGGAGACUGGAAUUCCUGGUGUAGCGGUGAAAUGCGCAGAUAUCGGGAGGAACACCAGUGGCGAAGGCGACUACCUGGCCUGUUCUUGACGCUGAGGCGCGAAAGCUAGGGGAGCAAACGGG